rnacentral:lncRNA from 1 species
AAUAAUUUUCUUUGUAACAUACUUGUUGAUUGAAGUAAGAUUAAGCAAUAAACAAGAGACUUUCACUUCACCUUGAGAAAUGAUUAAGCAAUAAACAAGAGACUUUCACUUCACCUUAAGAAAAACAUACAUGUCAGGCCAAAAUUAGUUUGACAACUAUAUACGUUCUUUCUUUUUCCAUUAGAUAUUUUCUAUUUCAAGAUAGCUAAGUAUUUUUUAUAUCUGUGUUCAUUACAUGAGUUUUUGAUAUGCCACUGGUGUGGUUCACAUAUGCCAGGUGGGCAAAAAGGUUCUGAACAAGCUAAAGGGGCAAAAAUGGAAGUUCAAGUCAUGGAGUCACUAAAGAAAGAAGAGUCCAUGCAGCCAGAGAUGGAGUCCGUGUAGCCAAGAUUUGAUUGAGAUAUAUUUGUAAUUAGGUUGAUUUGUUUUAGCAAAUUGUGAGUUGGUUAGGAGUAACUUUGCUGAAUAAGUGUGGCAUUAGCUCACCAAAAAUAAAGAGGGGGCAGAGUUUAGUCAAUCAUCCAGAAAUUUGAGGAAACUAAAAGAGAUACCAAGCCUCUUAAAUGCCUGGUAACAUGUAUCACUUUCCAUUUCUUAUUUGUAAUUUCCUCUUCAGUACAAGUGCUAUUAUCAAAUAUAGUAUUGUUUACAAUUCCACAAUUUGCUGGGUUUCUACCCAAAAACCAAUUCAUUCUUCAAUUCUGUAAUUCGUGUUCUAUCGGUUGCCUGAUAUCUACUAGUGAUGAAAUAAUUGAUCCUAGUCAGUAAUGACAACUGAUCACUAAAUAUUGCCUUUUGAAGCUGAAUACAUUUCUUUCUCUAUCACUUAAGUUUAAAGCAUU